rnacentral:lncRNA from 1 species
AGGCCCACGACGCCCAGGCGCUUCCGCGACCACCCGGAGUGAUUGCCCGGCAGAGCGCGGUAAAGAAUCUCAUUUGGACACAUUGAGUCGGGCACAACUGACCCAACUUUUCUUAGCCUCAGUCCUGGAAUGCCCUUUCUAUAAGGGUCCAAAACUCCUUCCUAAAUAUCAAGUGAAGUCAUUUCUUACCCCAUGCUGUUCCCUGGAGACCCCUGUGGAUUCUCAGCUUUAUAGAUAUGUGAAGAUUGGGCUGACUAACCUUUUAGGAGCAAGAUUAUAUUUUGCUCCAAAAGUGUUGACACCCUAUUGUUAUACAAUAGAUGUUGAAAUUAAAUUAGAUGAAGAAGGAUUUGUAUUGCCAUCCACAGCUAAUGAAGAUAUCCAUAAAAGGAUAGCACUGUGUAUUGAUGGUCCAAAAAGGUUUUGCUCCAAUAGCAAACACUUACUGGGGAAAGAAGCUAUUAAACAAAGACACCUACAGUUACUCGGUUAUCAAGUUGUUCAGAUCCCCUAUCAUGAGAUUGGGAUGCUAAAAUCAAGACGUGAAUUGGUGGAAUAUUUACAAAGAAAACUGUUUUCUCAAAACACUGUUCAUUGGUUGCAAGAAUGAAUACUGACUUCAGAACUCAAACAAUGGAAGAACUUGCAUUUUUAUGGAACUCAGUAUUAAAAGAAAAAUAUAAUGUGAAUUAGCCACUUUGCAGAAUAUGUUCUAGACUGGUGAUCUGAAAGCAUCUGUAGUUUUCCUUAUACUAUGUAUACAUUUAUUGUGGUAAAAUUUAAAAUUAAUUUUAAUUUAAUACUAGUGUCAUAGAUACUUUUUGUACAUCAAACAAUUGAUCAUGUGCUGUAAAGGAAUUCAAUGAAUAAAUGUUAUUUUUAAGUA